UACGGAGGGUGCGAGCGUUAAUCGGAAUUACUGGGCGUAAAGCGCGCGUAGGCGGGUUGAUAAGUCAGAUGUGAAAUCCCCGGGCUUAACCUGGGAAUGGCAUUUGAUACUGUCUGACUCGAGUGUGGUAGAGGGAAGUGGAAGUCCGCAUGUAGCGGUGAAAUGCGUAGAUAUGCGGAGGAACACCAGUGGCGAAAGCGGCUUCCUGGACCAACACUGACGCUGAGGUGCGAAAGCGUGGGGAGCAAACAGG
rnacentral:rRNA from 1 species